rnacentral:rRNA from 1 species
UACCAGCUGGCUGCAACUGUUUAUUAAAAACACAGCACUGUGCAAACACGAAAGUGGACGUAUACGGUGUGACGCCUGCCCGGUGCCGGAAGGUUAAUUGAUGGGGUCAGCGCAAGCGAAGCUCCUGAUCGAAGCCCCGGUAAACGGCGGCCGUAACUAUAACGGUCCUAAGGUAGCGAAAUUCCUUGUCGGGUAAGUUCCGACCUGCACGAAUGGCGUAAUGAUGGCCAGGCUGUCUCCACCCGAGACUCAGUGAAAUUGAACUCGCUGUGAAGAUGCAGUGUACCCGCGGCAAGACGGAAAGACCCCGUGAACCUUUACUAUAGCUUGACACUGAACAUUGAGCCUUGAUGUGUAGGAUAGGUGGGAGGCUUUGAAGUGUGGACGCCAGUCUGCAUGGAGCCGACCUUGAAAUACCACCCUUUAAUGUUUGAUGUUCUAACGUGGACCCGUGAUCCGGGUUGCGGACAGUGUCUGGUGGGUAGUUUGACUGGGGCGGUCUCCUCCUAAAGAGUAACGGAGGAGCACGAAGGUUGGCUAAUCCUGGUCGGACAUCAGGAGGUUAGUGCAAUGGCAUAAGCCAGCUUGACUGCGAGCGUGACGGCGCGAGUAGGUGCGAAAGCAGGUCAUAGUGAUCCGGUGGUUCUGAAUGGAAGGGCCAUCGCUCAACGGAUAAAAGGUACUCCGGGGAUAACAGGCUGAUACCGCCCAAGAGUUCAUAUCGACGGCGGUGUUUGGCACCUCGAUGUCGGCUCAUCACAUCCUGGGGCUGAAGUAGGUCCCAAGGGUAUGGCUGUUCGCCAUUUAAAGUGGUACGCGAGCUGGGUUUAGAACGUCGUGAGACAGUUCGGUCCCUAUCUGCCGUGGGCGCUGGAGAACUGAGGGGGGCUGCUCCUAGUACGAGAGGACCGGAGUGGACGCAUCACUGGUGUUCGGGUUGUCAUGCCAAUGGCACUGCCCGGUAGCUAAAUGCGGAAGAGAUAAGUGCUGAAAGCAUCUAAGCACGAAACUUGCCCCGAGAUGAGUUCUCCCUGAGACUUUAGGUCUCCUGAAGGAACGUUGAAGACGACGACGUUGAUAGGCCGGGUGUGUAAGCGCAGCGAUGCGUUGAGCUAACCGGUACUAAUGAACCGUGAGGCUUAACCUUACAACGCCGAAG